rnacentral:tRNA from 1 species
CUCGCUGUAGUUUAAGAAAAACGCUAAACUGCAAACUUAGAGAUUGGUCAUCCACAGCGAGU